CCUACGGGAGGCAGCAGUGGGGAAUUUUGGACAAUGGGCGCAAGCCUGAUCCAGCAAUGCCGCGUGCAGGAUGAAGGCCUUCGGGUUGUAAACUGCUUUUGUACGGAACGAAACGGUUCGCUUUAAUACAGUGGGCUAAUGACGGUACCGUAAGAAUAAGCACCGGCUAACUACGUGCCAGCAGCCGCGGUAAUACGUAGGGUGCGAGCGUUAAUCGGAAUUACUGGGCGUAAAGCGUGCGCAGGCGGUUUUGUAAGACAGAUGUGAAAUCCCCGGGCUCAACCUGGGACCUGCAUUUGUGACUGCAAGGCUAGAGUACGGUAGAGGGGGAUGGAAUUCCGCGUGUAGCAGUGAAAUGCGUAGAUAUGCGGAGGAACACCGAUGGCGAAGGCAAUCCCCUGGACCUGUACCGACGCUCAUGCACGAAAGCGUGGGGAGCAAACAGGAUUAGAUACCCUGGUAGUCCACGCCCUAAACGAUGUCAACUGGUUGUUGGGUCUUCACUGACUCAGUAACGAAGCUAACGCGUGAAGUUGACCGCCUGGGGAGUACGGCCGCAAGGUUGAAACUUAAAGGAAUUGACGG
rnacentral:rRNA from 1 species